rnacentral:rRNA from 1 species
CCAAACCCAAUGUGACGUUA